rnacentral:rRNA from 1 species
GACGAACGCUGGCGGCGUGCCUAAUACAUGCAAGUCGAGCGGACUUUCCGGAGUGCUUGCUCUCCGGAAGGUUAGCGGCGGGCGGGUUGGUUACGCGUAGGCAACCUGCUCAUAAGACCGGGAUAACAUUCGGAAAUGAUUGCUCAUACCUGAUAGACGGACCUCUCGCAUGAGGUGAUCGGGAACGGCGGCGCAUUCUGCCGCUUCUGGAUGGGCCUUCGGUGCAUUAGCUGGUUGGUGGGGUAACGGCCUACCAAGGCGACGAUGCGUAGCCGACCUGAGAGGGUGAUCAGCCACACUGGGACUGAGACACGGCCCAGACUCCUACGGGAGGCAGCAGUAGGGAAUAUUCCGCAAUGGACGCAAGUCUGACGGAGCAACGCCGCGUGAGUGAGGAAGGCCUUCGGAUCGUAAAGCUCUGUUGCCAGGGAAGAACGGCUAUAAGAGUAACCGCCCUUGCCAUGACGUUACCUAAAGAGGAAGCCCCGGCUAACUACGUG